GGAAAUGUCAUCUCUGUAAGGAGACACAGAUGAGAAGGACAUGAUGUAAUCUAUGCUCUCAAAUUGCCUUGAUGGAGGCAUCAGGGUGGAUAUCAAAGGCAGAACAUUUUACAAAAUUAUCUUACCAAAGAUGAAAAAUCUUACAACUGCUUUAUUAAUGAAUUCUCAAGACCAUAAGUUUAAAAACUAGAACAGCAGCAAGAAGACACUACCUUGAAAAAGAAGACUGAGCAAAGAAUACUCAUAUUUGGGAAAAGAAAGAGAAAAAAGAGAAAAAGAGAAA